rnacentral:rRNA from 1 species
UACGGGGGGGGCAAGCGUUGUUCGGAAUUACUGGGCGUAAAGGGCUCGUAGGCGGCCAACUAAGUCAGAUGUGAAAUCCCCAGGCUCAACCUGGGAACUGCAUCCGAUACUGGAUGGCUUGAAUUCGGGAGAGGGAUGCAGAAUUCCAGGUGUAGCGGUGAAAUGCGUAGAUAUCUGGAGGAAUACCGGUGGCGAAGGCGGCAUCCUGGACCGACAUUGACGCUGAGGAGCGAAAGCCAGGGGAGCAAACAGG